GAUACAUACGGAAUUAUUUGUAGUUCAAAUGAUAUGCAGUCUGAGACUUGCUUUAAUCUCCUGAAAAAUAAAGUAUGAGGAGAUAGAUAAAAUCAGAAUAACAAAGCAAUGACCAUUAUUGAAGCUGGGUCAUGGAAACCCUAACUAAACUAAACAGCUUCUGCACAGCAAAAGAAACUAUCAACAGGGUAAACAUACAACCUACAGAAUGGAAUUCUGGGUAGGUGCGGGCUCAGUGGGCCCCACACUCGACAUGGCCAGCCGACCAAUCAGCAGGAUGUGCGUGGGGCCAGAUAAGGGAAUAAAAGCAGACCACCUGAGCCAGCAGCAGCAACCCACUCGGGUCCCCUUUGACACUGUGGAAGCUUUGUUCUUUCGCUCUUUGCAAUAAAUCUUGCUGCUGCUCACUCUUUGGGUCUGCACCAACUUUCUGAGCUGUAACACUCACCACGAAGGUCUGCAGCUUCACUCCUGAGGCCAAUGAGAGCAUAAACCCACUCAAAGGAAUGAACAACUCCAAACGUGCUGCCUUUAAGAACGGUAACACUCACUGCGAGGGUAUGCGGCUUCAUUCUUGAAGUCAGCGAGACCAAGAACCCACCAAUUCUGGACACAUUUUGGUGACCACGAAGGAACCAUCGCUUAUCGCCAAGUGGUGAGUACCACUGGACCCCUUUCACUUGCUAUUCUGUCCUAUUUUUCCUUAGAAUUCGGAGGUUAAAUACCAGGCACCUGUCGGCCAGUUAAGAGCAACUAGCAUGGCUGCCAGACUAAAGACACUGGUGUCAGGCUUUCUGGGAAAGGGCUCUCUAACAAUCCCUGCCUCUUCGGAGUUUGGAGCAUUUGUUUGCCUGGAACCAGCUUCCACUUUUCCUGUACUUCUGGGCUGAGCCAAGGGUCGACAGAGAGGAAAGCCAUUCAGCUCCGGGGUCCCAACAACAAGUUGGUUGACCCUGUGGCCAUGAGCAGAACUCUCAAAGUCAUGUCACCCAAGGGAGACUCACCCAUCUAUUCUAUCUACCCUGACCAUUGCCUCCUGGGUCCUAAUGCCUGCCAAACAAACUUCCUCUCACCUCUCUUCUCUGAGGCUA
rnacentral:lncRNA from 10 species